rnacentral:tRNA from 1 species
GCGGGAGUAGCUCAGUUGGUAGAGCGGCAGCUUCCCAAGCUGCAGGCCGUGGGUUCGAACCCCAUUUCCCGCUCCU